rnacentral:lncRNA from 1 species
UGUGGUUUUAAAUCCGUGUAAAGCCUUGAGUUCAAAUCCAAAUCCAUAAAAUCCGUUCGUUUCAACUAGAGGACCAGCUUACAAAUUCGAAUUCAUGUAGAAGAUAAGGGCAGAAUAAAGAUUCAGCAUGAAGAUGAGGAAGAGGAUAAGCAUAAUCAAGAAAUCAACGAUGGAGAUGAUAUUUGGUGGUUGUCAAAAAAAUAUUAAACGUG